UUUUAAUCCACAAACAAAAAGGAAAAAAACAAAAACAAAUGAACCCUAUACCAAGAACGCAAGUGCCAUUUUCAGCAAAGAUUCUCAUUUCCUUUCGGCCAUACCAGGUUUUGUUGAGCUGAAAAUAGCAGUCCUUUGAUGGCAUUUGUCCGCUAGCUCGGGUGAAUUGAAUUUCAAACAGUAACCUAUUCCUUUUUUAUUUUUCUUUUCAAUUCUGCUUUGCUUCCCCUGUAAGAUUCGGAUUUCAAAUGCAUUCAAAAUGAAUUUCAACUUCAAUAGCUGUCCCAUGUCAAAUUUGGACUUCCAAAAAAAACCUAGAUGGGGUUCGAAAAAUAGGACUCUCUAUCUUCAUUUACAAGAGGUUUGAUACACCUCAGGAGAGGUUUGGAGACCCACAAAUAUGGUUUUUACACCUACAAUGGGUUUUUACACCCUCAAGAGUAGAAACACUCAGACACUCAACUAAGCCUUGUGUUUCGAGGAAGUUUCUAGGUAAUAGUUAAAUUUUUGGUCUCUCUUCCGAUUCAUCAGACUAGUUGGUUUGGGUGAAUGAGUGAUCGACUCAACUCUCGUCGCCGCCAUCGCUGCUUGACAAAAAAGAUCAAAUGCCUACAGGAAUUGCUCAUGUAUGAGAGACUAGUGAUGUUGAGUCAGAAGGACCAGAUGGUAUCAGGUCUCCAGCCUUCUCAGCCAACAAUGCAUACUGACAGUGUAUCUAGUACUUACAACGUGUUUGAAGAACAGAUGAGGAGCUAAGUUCCUCCAGAUAAAGGUUCUGGCCACUCAAGCUGAAGUUCAAAUUCACAGCUGUAAAGUGAGCGGCUGAAAAGUACAAUGCAGCUGAACAACGGUACCUCAUCAAGGCCGACUGAUUAACGGUCCAUAUUUCCUGAGUGGUCAUCUCUACUCUCUCUCCGUGCAUAUAAAGACAUCAUCUUCCAAGAGAAGACUCUUCUUGCACAAUUCAAAAAUUGCUCCAUCCAAAGUGCAAGUCUCCACCGUUCAAGGUGUUCCUCAAGAACAGAGCCACAGUAACCCGAAGGACCAGGUCUAGAACUGAAGAUGUUUUAGGUCCUUAGGUUGUUGAGUCUCUAUUCUUUUGUGCUUAAACUGUAAACAUACUCUUCCAUAAAAUGAAGCUAUUUGUAGGUGUCCUAAAUUCUCAAGGUUGCUUCCACAAGCUCUUGAGUGGUACACUAGGCUAAAGUUAGCUUAGUUUUAUUAGUGUGUGGCUAGAGUUAGUCACUGUGGUGAAUUUUCAAAGGGUGCCUUUGAGUGGUACACUAGGAUGGGGUAAAUCUAGGUGUAUUAGUGGUCCUUGGCUAGGGGUAGUCAAGGGUGGUGAGGGUUGCAUGAGCGUUAUUAUAAGGGUGAGGGAUUAUGAGAGUUAAUUCCUAGCUUACGACAGAGUUGUAACCUGAGUUGCUCGGUUAGUGGAGUUUAAAUCCUAUAGGGGUAGGUCGUGGUUUUUAAUCCAUUGAGCAAGGAGUUUUCCAAGUAAAAAUCUUGUGUUGAUUCUCGUACUGCAUUACAUAAGGGAACUGGUACACUACCGGGUCCCUCAUAUACUGUUUGGUGGACGCACAACUUAUAACAAUUAUGUAUGAAAGGCUUGGAGUAAUUGCUCUAUUUAUGUUAGUAGUUUCUGUUU